GGCGAGGUAGCUCAGGUGGUUAGAGCGCAGGAUUCAUAACCCUGAGGUCAGGGGUUCAAUUCCCCUCCUCGCUA
rnacentral:tRNA from 1 species